UACGGAGGGGACUAGCGUUGUUCGGAAUUACUGGGCGUAAAGCGCGCGUAGGCGGAUUUGCAAGUCGGGGGUGAAAUCCCGGGGCUCAACCUCGGAACUGCCUUUGAUACUGCAAAUCUCGAGUCCGGAAGAGGUGAGUGGAAUUCCUAGUGUAGAGGUGAAAUUCGUAGAUAUUAGGAAGAACACCAGUGGCGAAGGCGGCUCACUGGUCCGGUACUGACGCUGAGGUGCGAAAGCGUGGGGAGCAAACAGG
rnacentral:rRNA from 1 species